rnacentral:rRNA from 1 species
CGUUAGCGGCGGGCCUAACACAUGCAAGUCGAACGCGAAAGGUCUUCGGACUGAUUAGAGUGGCGCGACGGUGAGUACACGUAGGUAAUCUACCUUGGCGGGGAUAACGUCCGAAAGGAGCGCUAAUACCGCAUAAGACCACGGAGUCUCCGGACGCUGUGGGAAAAGGUGGCCUCUUCUUGAAAGCUAUCACCGGAGGAUGAGCCUGCGUCCCAUCAGCUAGUUGGUAAGGUAAUGGCUUACCAAGGCAAAGACGGGUAGCUGGUUUGAGAGAAUGAUCAGCCACACUGGCACUGGAACACGGGCCAGACUCCUACGGGAGGCAGCAGUGAGGAAUAUUGGGCAAUGGGCGAAAGCCUGACCCAGCCACGCCGCGUGAGUGAUGAAGGCCCUCGGGUCGUAAAGCUCUGUGGAGAGGGACGAAAAACCUGGGGUCUAAUAGGCCCCGGACUUGACGGUACCUCUUUAGCAAGCACCGGCUAACUCUGUG